AUUGAACGCUGGCGGCAGGCCUAACACAUGCAAGUCGAGCGAGCGGCGGACGGGAGAGUAAUGUAUGGGGAUCUGCCCGCUAGAGGGGGAUAACUACUGGAAACGGUGGCUAAUACCGCAUACUAUCGGCUAAACCCAUAUGGGUUUAGCCAGUAGGUGGGGUAAAGGCUCACCUAGGCGACGAUCUGUAGCUGGUCUGAGAGGAUGAUCAGCCACACUGGGACUGAGACACGGCCAAGACUCCUACGGGAGGCAGCAGUGGGGAAUAAUGCACAAUGUGCGCAAGCCUGAUGCAGCCAUGCCGCGUGUAUGAAGAAGGCCUUAGGGUUGUAAAGAACUUUCAGCGGGGAGGCGUUACCCGCAGAAGAAGCACCGGCUAACUCCGUGCCAGCAGCCGCGGUAAUAC
rnacentral:rRNA from 1 species